CUGGGUACUAGCAAACCAUGUCAUUGGGUGAAUCCAACCCAAAAGGUUAAUUUGAACUAAGACUGUGGACUUGAGCAUUAUGAUAGAAGACAACGUCUCCCCAGGAAGUGAAAGGAGAUCCUUUCAACAAUACUUUAGAAUAUCAAGGCAAGUCAGUGCAGGAAGAAAAUCAUGAGGAAAUACUGGCUUAUGUAUGGACAACAUUCUAUGAGUAUGUACAGUAACAAGUCAAUACAUAAACAGUGGUCAACUCUUGGGCCAUCCUCAUAUACACACACAAGUUUUGAGAUGAAAAACUCUAGAACCGCUACAACUUCAUCAAGUCAUAGUAUUCUGUUGCUGUGACCUUUAAAAAAAAAGAAACUUUUUUUUUAGUUAAAUACUGUAUUGAGUGCAGUGAGUUCAAAAGACUUGAAAUACUGUAAGAAAUGAAAUGUGACAAUGAGUAGAGUUUGAAAGGCUACCAACACACUUGCUUCCUUUAAAAACAAACAGUAACCAACAUGUCAUAGGAUAUUAAGAUCUACGAUGAAAAACAAAAAAUGACAAAAAGCAAAACAAAGAGGAAAAAAAAAAGACCAGCAAAUCAAAGAAAUUUCUCAUAAAACCUUACAGAAAGAAAAAAAAACAUUUUGUAGAAUCAAAUAAAUCCAAACAACUAGCACUCAAUACAAAGUUAGGUAAACUUGAAUCUCAUGAUGUAAAACUAUUUACUUUUAGUGCCAUAAAAACAUGCUAGAGAAAAGAGAUUUAAAGACAAAAUAGAAAAGAAAAAUAAAAAGAAUAUACACAUUGUUCUCUUAAACCAUACCAAAAUCUUUAGUAUAAGAGUUUGAAUCAGAUUUAAAAGUUACAUUUGUUGUAAAGUAACUCAUAAGAUCAAUCAUUCAUCGCAUUUCUAAGAUGAGAGAAUUAAUCAAAAGAGACACUUUGUCCUCUCACUCUAUCAUAUCAACAUAUAACACAUACCUACACAACAUACAAGACUGUGCUCUCAUUUCUUAAGAUCAACAUACAAGAUUGUCCUCUCAUUCCUUAAGAUCAACAUACAAGACUGUCCUCUCAUUCUAUCAGAUUAACAUGUGACACAUGGCUAAAAAAUAAAUACAUGCUAUAAACUAUUCACCAGUAUAUUUUUGUUUCCUAUGUGAAGAGGAAAUGACUUUUAUGCUAGCUGUUCUAUACAAUAAUGUGUUUUAGUAAUCCCAGAACAUUACUAUGUUAAAGAUUCUGGUGAUCAAAGUUAUGAAAGAACGUUAUAAGCAAAUAAAAUAUUUAUUUCUAUAAGAGCAAGUAGCAAUUCUAAGAACAUAUAUCUAAAGAGUCUUUAACUUUUAAUAAUGUAUUUUAUCCAAAUGUUCACAAGGUAGAGUCACAGCUCUUCUCUUUCUAUUUACUCUGCAAUAUGCAAAAUAUUUGUGAUGAUAGUAGACAACUCAAAAGUCACUCUUUGACUAUCAUGUGAAGAAAUAAUCAAUGUAAUGGCAAGUGAACUGAAUGUCUUUGUCCCCCAUUGUACCACAAUGCUAAGAAAUUUCUAACCUAGGACCCUCAAAGACUAACUGGCUCAAACUAUUAAGGCCUUGGGUCUUGGUUAUAAAAGAGCUGUAUUUUUGUUUUUGUUAGCAUCUAGUUUCAGCUACAUUUCAAAGGAUAUGCAAUGCCAAGGCAACUAAGUCCAGCAUGUGUUAUGAAAUCGUUUUUUUUACCAACUAGAUUUUAUACAUAUCAUGAAAGGUUAUAAUAAUUGUAACUUAGAAAUACUGAAUGUUGUUUUGUAGAUACAGACUAUCAUAGAACAGAAUACUUCUUGUAAGAAAUAACAAACAACAACAAAAAAAACAACAAGUCAACAUAAUACAAACACAGGUCCAUGAAAUAUCCUUGUAAACCUAAUACAAACACAGAUCAUAGUACUACACAGGUCCAUGAAAUAUCCUUGUAAACCUAAUACAAACAGAUCAG